UCUAACGGUCUGGUUCGGACCUCAGCCAAUUUUUUCCGUGGUGAUAUUCCGAAACAAGUGGUUAUCACCGGGUAAAAACUGGUAGAGGUCCAAAUCAAUGAG
rnacentral:pre_miRNA from 1 species